GAUGAACGCUAGCUACAGGCUUAACACAUGCAAGUCGCGGGGCAGCAUGAAUUUAGCUUGCUAAAUUUGAUGGCGACCGGCGCACGGGUGAGUAACGCGUAUCCAACCUUCCCUUAUCCACGGGAUAGCCCGUCGAAAGGCGGAUUAAUACCGUAUGAGGUCACAUGACGGCAUCAGAGUGUGACGAAAGGUUUGGCGGAUAAGGAUGGGGAUGCGUCUGAUUAGCUUGUUGGCGGGGUAACGGCCCACCAAGGCAACGAUCAGUAGGGGUUCUGAGAGGAAGGUCCCCCACAAUUGGUAACGUAGA
rnacentral:rRNA from 1 species